UCUCCAUCACCACUUCCUCCUUCUCUCCCUCUCACCACUUCCUCCCUGUCCCUCACCACUUUCUCCCCUCUCUGUCCCCACUUCCUGCCCUCUCUUCCCUGUUCUGAAGACACUGAUUCUUACCAGACGUAGAGGGCUGUCCUUGGAUUCAAGCUCCACCCCUACCUGGAUGUUUCUGGACCCUUCUGAGCUGAGGCUCCCCCAGCUGAAGAAUGGGAAUGACAGUCACGGCACUUAUGUCACAGAGCAGAAUUGAAUUUGUUCUCAGACCGGAAGUAUAAUAGUGCCUGAUUCCAAUUCAACCGAAGUACCAGCCUCCAGGAUCCUCAAUUUACUCAGCAUGUUUCUACAGGUCCGGCCUCAGACAGUAAUGACCGUAGGUGGCGGUGCUCGGUGUAACCCCUACCAAACCAGCUCCCAUACCUCAUUUUGUCAGCUGGACAAUCCGUAAGCUGUUUCCUGGGUGUGUACAUGUGCCAGGCCUCGGGGACAGCUUCCUAAGCAGGAGAGAUAACGGCGCCUCCAUUCACGGAGCUCACAGUUUUGUGGGACCACACAGGCUAAGGAGACGCACAACCACACGAGUUAGGAACCUUGGGAAUGUUCGUUCUGCACGUGACAAUAACCAGGCACAAGCCGCACCUCAGAGAGCAAAAUUAGAAUUGCCCGUGUUUGUGUUCUACAAUGUAUUUGAGAUAAUUAAAAAUUAGCCCGUGAAACCAUCGAGAUCAUUAUAGGAGCAGGAAGGAUUUGGAGGCGGCCUUUUCCCUCCGGGCAAAUGCACUGGACUUUUAUGAGAGUAAAUACGAAAUCUGAAUCCGGCUGCACAUUUUACUAAAACUGCUAACAUCUCAUGGUCACCUCUGCCUAGCUGGCAGGCCUCCGGAAUAGCCACCCCCGGCCGUGUCUUAUUAGCAACCUGCAAGAAGAUAACUAAACAUAAUCGGCCGUUGAAAUGAUUAUUUAAGCCUCUAAGAAACGCAUCCUGAUGACUGUGCGUGACUGUGUGGUGGCUGCGCUCUCGUCGCUCCUGCCUCUCCAGUCCGGCUCCACUUCUCCGCUGCUGCUUUAAGACUGCAGAGCGCCCCAGCGGCCAGAGGCAGGGGAGGGGGGUCCCCGCUCGCCUCCGCGCCGCUCGCUCGCUCGCUCGCUCGCUCGCUCCGCGCCCGCCCGCCCGCCUCCCAGGCAGGGAAGGUUAGCGAGGGCUCACUGCGAUUCGGGCCGCGGGAGAGGAAAGAUGAGCCUGCCCGCCCGCCUGCUGCCUGGAUGUGGAGGCUGAGGGCCGGCGCACGGGAGGCCGCUUGCUGCGCAGUCGGGGCGCCGGGUGCCCGGGAUGAGCUCACGCCCGCGUCUGCGGCUCCGUCCACCUGCCGACCUGCCGGCGGCCCCCUGAGCUGACGGCGCACCUGGGCUGCAGCCCCGCCGGCCCGCUCUGGCCGCAGCGUUGGGCGCGGCGCCCGGGAGCAGGUGUGCAGGAGCGCAGCGCGCGGCGAGCGCAGCCCUCGCCCCGGAGCCCG